rnacentral:misc_RNA from 1 species
GAAAGUAAAAGUCGUAACAAGGUCUCCGUUGGUGAACCAGCGGAGGGAUCAUUACAGGACUCGCAAGACUCCUACAACCCUGUGAACUUAACUAUAAGCACGUUGCUUCGGCGGGUGUCUCGGAGGGGGUUCUCCCUCCCCGAGACGCUAAACCCGCCGGCAGCCUACUAUACUCUGUCUCUUUGCGUUGGCAUCUCGAGUACAAUCAAACAAGUUAAAACUUUCAACAACGGAUCUCUUGGUUCUG